CCCUUAGAUGUUCUGGACCGCACGCGCGCUACACUGAUGCAUUCAACGAGUCUAAAACCUGCUCUGAUAGGGGUGGGUAAUCUUUUGAAUGUGCAUCGUGAUUGGGAUAGAUGAUUGCAAUUUUUCAUCUUCAACGAGGAAUGCCUAGUAAACGCAAGUCAUCAGCUUGCAUUGAUUACGUCCCUGCCCUUUGUACACACCGCCCGUCGCUCCUACCGAUUGAAUGAUCCGAUGAAUAUCAUGGAUUGAGGAUGCAAGCAGGUUCGCCUGUCUUCAUCUUCGAGAAGUGAAGUAAAUCUUAUCAUUUAGAGGAAGGAGAAGUCGUAACA
rnacentral:rRNA from 1 species